rnacentral:rRNA from 1 species
UACGUAGGUGGCAAGCGUUGUCCGGAUUUACUGGGCGUAAAGAGCGCGCAGGCGGUCGCUCAAGUCGCGUGUGAAAGCCCCCGGCUCAACUGGGGAGGGUCACGCGAUACUGAUCGACUCGAAGGCAGGAGAGGGUAGUGGAAUUCCCGGUGUAGUGGUGAAAUGCGUAGAUAUCGGGAGGAACACCAGUGGCGAAGGCGACUACCUGGCCUGUUAUUGACGCUGAGGCGCGAAAGCUAGGGGAGCAAACGGG